rnacentral:rRNA from 1 species
GACGAACGCUGGCGGCGUGCUUAACACAUGCAAGUCGAACGGAAAGGCCCUGCUGUUGUGGGGUGCUCGAGUGGCGAACGGGUGAGUAACACGUGAGUAACCUGCCCUUGACUUUGGGAUAACUUCAGGAAACUGGGGCUAAUACCGGAUAGGAGCUCCUGCUGCAUGGUGGGGGUUGGAAAGUUUCGGCGGUUGGGGAUGGACUCGCGGCUUAUCAGCUUGUUGGUGGGGUAGUGGCUUACCAAGGCUUUGACGGGUAGCCGGCCUGAGAGGGUGACCGGCCACAUUGGGACUGAGAUACGGCCCAGACUCCUACGGGAGGCAGAAGUGGGGAAUAUUGCACAAUGGGCGGAAGCCUGAUGCAGCAACGCCGCGUGCGGGAUGACGGCCUUCGGGUUGUAAACCGCUUUCGCCUGUGACGAAGCGUGAGUGACGGUAAUGGGUAAAGAAGCACCGGCUAACUACGUG